rnacentral:misc_RNA from 1 species
GAUGAAGAACGUAGUGAAAUGCGAUACUUGGUGUGAAUUGCAGAAUCCCGUGAACCAUCGAGUCUUUGAACGCAAGUUGCGCCUCAAGCCAUUAGGUUGAGGGCACGUCUGCCUGGGCGUCACAUAUCGUUGCCUGAUGCCAGUUUCCUCGUGAUGGGUGACUGUGCAGGGCGAAUGAUGGCUUCCCGUGAGCAUUGUUGCCUCAUGGUUGGUUGAAAAUUGAGUCCUUGGUAGGGAGCGCCGUGAUAGAUGGUGGUUGAGUGACGAACGAGACCCAAUCAUGUGAGACCCCUACCGAAUUUGGCCUUCAUGACCCACAUGCGUCUUUGGAACGCUCAUGACGAGACCUCAGGUCAGGCGGGGCUACCCGCUGAGUUUAAGUAUAUCAAUAAGCGGAGGA